GCUCUGGUGGCUCAAUCGGAUAGAGUGUUGGACUUCUAAUCCAAAGGUUGCGGGUUCAAGUCCCGCCCAGAGUA
rnacentral:tRNA from 1 species